rnacentral:rRNA from 1 species
GACGGAGGGGGCUAGCGUUGUUCGGAAUGACUGGGCGUAAAGGGCGCGUAGGCGGUUUUUUAAGUGAGGCGUGAAAGCCCUGGGCUUAACCCAGGAGGUGCGUUUCAUACUGGAAGGCUUGAGUGCGAGAGAGGAAGGUGGAAUUCCUAGUGUAGAGGUGAAAUUCGUAGAUAUUAGGAAGAAUACCAGUGGCGAAGGCGACUUUCUGGCUCGUAACUGACGCUGAGGCGCGAAAGCGUGGGGAGCAAACAGG